AUUGAACGCUGGCGGCAGGCUUAACACGUGCAAGUCGAGCGGGGGAAGGUAGCUUGCUACCGGACCUAGCGGCGGACGGGUGAGUAAUGCUUAGGAAUCUGCCUAUUAGUGGGGGACAACAUCUCGAACGGGAUGCUAAUACCGCAUACGUCCUACGGGAGAAAGCAGGGGAUCUUCGGACCUUGCGCUAAUAGAUGAGCCUAAGUCGGAUUAGCUAGUUGGUGGGGUAAAGGCCUACCAAGGCGACGAUCUGUAGCGGGUCUGAGAGGAUGAUCCGCCACACGGGGACUGGGACACGGCCCAGACUCGUACGGGAGGCAGCAGUGGGGAAUAUUGGACAAUGGGGGGAACCCUGAUCCAGUCAUGCCGCGUGUGUGAAGAAGGCCUUAUGGUUGUAAAGCACUUUAAGCGAGGAGGAGGCUACUUUAGUUAAUACCUAGAGAUAGUGGACGUUACUCGCAGAAUAAGCACCGGCUAACUCUGUGCCAGCCGCCGCCGUAA
rnacentral:rRNA from 1 species